AUUGAACCCUGGCGUCAUGUCUAACACAUUCAAGUCGAACGAUUGGCUGACGGGUGAGUAAUCUCUUGGAAACGCCCUGAUGGAAGUGGAUAACUACUGUAAACAUUACCUAAUACCACAUACCAUCAGAUGUGCCCAGAUGGGAUUAGCUUGUUGGUGGGGUAACGGCUCACCAAGGCGACGAUCCCUAGCUGGUCUGAGAGGAUGACCGUCCACACUGGAACUGAGAUACGGCGCAGACGCCUACGGGAGGCAGCAGUGUGGACUAUUGCAGCAUGGGCGGAAGAUUGAUGCCGGCGUGCCGGGUGUAUGCUGAAGGAGUGCGGGUUGUAAAGUACUGUCAGCGGGCAGGCGUUCCCCGAAGAAGACGCACCGACUAACUCCGUGCCAGCAGCCGCGGUAAUUC
rnacentral:rRNA from 1 species